UUCGUCUGAUAUCACAUAUUUCUGAAGUGUUGCAUGUGAGUAAUUUCUUUUAUUUUAAUGAAAUUUUAAAUUUUAACCUAAGAUUUGAAAUUGGGGUAGUAAAAAUUCAAUGAGACCAAGCAACUGAAACGCACAUAGGAUUUUUUGGGGUGCAAGAGGAAUAAACGGUGAAGGUUGCAAAGAAGCAGCUUUUAAGUAAUCUCUCGGCGGCUCAUAUUGAGAGAUGUGUCUUUCUAAUCUGGAGGAAAGAUGAAUGCAGUUAGUAAAGUUCAGGAAGUGCUUACCAUGACAAAGAAGAAGAAUUGACAGAAUCAUGACUAAAGUGCCGCAAGAAUGCUCCAAUAUUGACAUUCUAUGGACUGCUUCAAUGGAUAUGGCAUCUUAUCUUAAUCCUUAUGCUAUUGUUGCAACUAGAAAUUAUAUGAAAAAAGAGGAUGUUAAAGAGAAGCUAGACAUGGGUUUAACAUCAUACUUUUGUUGCACCAGGUAUUUGAAAUUUUAGGCAUUGCAUUACAAGUUUGAAUGGCAACAUAGUAAUAGAUUGCACAGGAAUGUUGUAGUAAAAAGAUGUGUUGCUGCAAAACUAAAGCAUGGAGAAAGUGGGAGCCACAUUGAAAGAGGGAAUAAGACUAAUAGAUGGUAGACAUGUACUUGGAAGUGCUGUGGAAUUCAUAAAGAUUGCCUUGGUUAGAGAAGUUGAUGAGAACAAUCUCAGUUACAUGUGUUAGCUUAAUUUUUCUGUUAAGUGAUGUUUCAACUGGGAAUCCUUUUGGUGCUGCUACUUUGUCUUCCACCCUUAUCCAAACAAGCAAAUUUUAUAUCCUUUGGCGUUUGAAACCUUAUAUUUGCAGGUUACUCCACCACAAGAGAAAAGUUCAAACUUUUUUUUAUCUUCAAAGGUCUUCAUCACAUGUAUUAGAGAAAAUAGUUUCAAAUAUGUUAUGAAUAGAAUUCUAUUUAGAGUGAAUGUCUAUCUUGUAGAGAGUUUUACUUUGUGGCUAAGUCAUUUUUUCCCGGUCUUACCCCAUUGUAGAUCAUCCCAAAAUUCAAUAAGAAUUUUCUCUCUCUUUCUCUGCAA